UGAUAAAAAUUUUAUCCAUUUUUAUUAUUAAAAAUUGAUAUGGUUGAUGGAAUGACCAAAAAGUUAUACGUGGUAUGUCAUGUGUACCUCAUGCUAACGUACAUGGAUCCGUUUUUUUAACAGUAGAAAUAGAUGAAAUUUUAAUA
rfam:Gossypium hirsutum cultivar TM-1 chromosome 20, whole genome shotgun sequence